rnacentral:rRNA from 1 species
GACGAACGCUGGCGGCGUGCUUAACACAUGCAAGUGGAGCGACGAACCAGGGCUUGCCCUGGGGCAAAGCCGCGAACGGGUGAGUAACACGUGGGUAACCUGCCCCGAUGACCGGGACAACCCGAGGAAACUCGGGCUAAUACCGGAUGAGCUCACGCCACACCAGUGGUAUGAGGAAAGGAAGCUUCGGCCUACCGCAUUGGGAUGGGCCCCGCGGCCCAUUAGCUUGUUGGUGGGGUAAAGGCCACCAAGGCUUCGAUGGGUAGCUGGUCUGAGAGGACGAUCAGCCACACUGGGACUGAGACACGGCCCAGACUCCUACGGGAGGCAGCAGUGGGGAAUCUUGCGCAAUGCGCGAAAGCGUGACGCAGCAACGCCG